rnacentral:lncRNA from 1 species
CCUCGCGCCGCGGGGCGGCCUCUCAGAAGCGCCUCAGCCGCGCUGAGGGAACUGCCGGCGGGUUGGGCUUCUCCGCCUGCUUCCUACGCUGCCGUGAGCCUCCGUGAGCGAAUCGGGGACUGCUUGCCCAUCCCGCUGGAAAUCAAAAGGAAGCACUUAGUGAUUAUUCAUUGAUUCUGGUAGAACGUUGCACUUUUCAAGCAGAAAACACAAGAUACUCCCCAUUAACUGAAUCAUCAGUCCAUGGGCAAGGAGCUGAGGAGAUAAAAAACACUAAUCGUAUCUGGUAGCAGCACGUUAAAUGGAAGUGGAAUUUGUUUUCUCCCGUAAAGCAUUCCUGGUUAACCCCAACGUGCCGUCUCUGGCAAUUAGUGGUGUCACGCUUGUAAAGCACUGAUGAGUUCUGAUCCAGCGCAGUGCACAGUCACUGCCCUCAAAGCAAUCCUCAGCUCACACAGCUAAACACACGGCCUGUCUGACAGACAGAAAGGAAGUACAGCAUCAGCAAUGACUCUUCAUGCCCUCCAGCCAAGUGCACACGUGUGGCUUCCCGACUACAUGUGUCUCAGAGUCAUAUCGCUACCAGAAUUCUGCUCUGCUUUACACAGCUGUGCUGCUAGACACCUGGAAUGAAAGCGUCCUCGUCUCCGCAGUGUGCUCCCUCUGCUAGGGAAGAAUUUGGGUAUGAACAAUGAUAAACACCGUGUGCAAACAAUGAUUUUGGUCCCAAGUCCCAGCAAUGCCAUAAGGCAUGGACCAUUUACUUGGCACAUUCAGUACAACUAUCAAAGAAAUUCUUCAGCUCUUUAUAGUGCAUCAGCCUCACAUCAGUGAGCAUCUAGCACGCUGUGAUAAGAAAAAUAUGCCUAAUAAUACCCCAGGUGGUAGCACGGACAUUUGGCAUUGAGUUAACCACCUCUCUCACUAAGUCUUUCACCGUCUUUGCCCAGCUGUUUGUGAGAAGGUACCAAGGAAGAGGACAGCCUGGGGAUGUGGAGAGUCCGGCUCACACCAAGGUGGGGAACUGGAAAGAGGACGAGGAGACCAUGGCUAGAAAGCUCUGGAAAUGCUUAAGAACCUUUCUGAUAACAUUGCUGGUCUAGCCAGAAGCUGGAAGUGCCUUUAAUGAAUACCCACAGGGUUCAGGUACUCAUGAGGAUGCUCCAGAUGAAUGUCUGCUCAGUAACAAAAAAACUGCCAGGAUGUCCAAGGAGGAGAAACAGGUUCCUGUUCAACUUUGUAUCUCACUUGCUGAGUGACGUUUAACCCAUCUGAGCCUCUUUACUCGUGUAUAGUAGAACUAGUUAUACUGACUGCAUGAGUACGUGCUGCAUGAGACCACAUAAAGGUCUGUAAAAACUGCUUUGAGAGUCAUCUGGGAGAAGUGUUACUAUGAUGAGUACAUGAAAAAUUAUCAUUUGGAAGACGUGAAAUCAUCACCUAAAUAUGUGCUUUCUAGUUCUCUGAAACAAAAGACCUUUGAGAUUCAAAAGUGAAGAGUUCAAAAGAUGAACUUCAUCUUCCUAAAACGCUGCGAAAUGUGCAUUUUGCAUUUGAAGAUCUAAAAGCACAUUACAAAUUGUUGAAACUCUUGAACAACCUGCUCUACAUCACUCAAAAAUUACAUUUAAGGGUUUGGACUAGAAUCACAGAAUUCUUGAUUUUACUUCACAUCCCGUAUAUCUCAACUAGGGGAGAAUUUAAUUUCCUCAAUUGUAUAAAGUCUCCCAUCUUUCAAAGACGAUGGAGCUCCAGGAAUAAUGCUGGAGCUGUGCCAGAAGAUGGUGGCAAGUAGGAGAAUUGUGCCUCUCAUUGUUUGGAUAAAGGUCGUAAUUCAUGCCAAGCUGGUCUAAAAAAAUCUGCAUCAAGUGUGAUAUAUUGAUGGAGGAGGAGGGACUGGUUUAUCUCACAGCUUCAAGAAGGAAUUUUCUGAGUUGUUGAUAGCCUGUUCUAAAAAGCCACGUACCCUUUUCCAUACAUGCAACCAACAUAUCUGUGCUUCAUGGCCAAUGGGAAUAACAAUGGCAAACAGCAGGUGAUUUUAGAGUCUCCAAAACAGGACCAGAUGUGGGUCUGCAAAGGAGCUUACAAGCUUCUGAAGUAGAUCUACAUAAAUAACGUUCCCAGGCAUUUGUGUGGGCUUCAGUGAAUGCGCUCUGGACUUGAUGUGUUCACUCGUGGAGGCGAGGCUUACUCAGUAUGCUGGCUGAGGACAAAAUACAUCAGACACUUCGGAAAGGAAUUCCACCAGCAAAGCAGCAACACAAGAGGGUGUUUUGUGGAGGAUUUUCAAAUGGCUGUUUCUGUGAACAGAGACUCACUCCCUCAAAUGUCAACGUUUUAGAUGCAAGGAAAAUACUAAGGACAACUCAAUUUUGGAGAAAAGACUUAAAUUUUAGUUGUGUGUAAGUACAAAAUAAAAACAUUUCAAAGUGAAGAAUCAUACCAACAUAGUUCUGAUUAAAUAAUCCACUACUAAGAGCGUUGAAGCGACACCUUUUGGCAUAUGUGUUUUCUUGUGUCUUCCACUGUAACUACCAACAAAAAAGUUGUCAGAUUUUUUUACAAGUUUUGUGUACGAAUUAAAUCAAUUAAUUGCUGUACUGAUCUAAUAUAAAUGGACACAUACAUUCUAUGCAGAAAAAAAGAUCUAAUCCUUUUAAAAUCCUGUUAUAAUCUGUGUAAUAUCUUGUAGCAGCAAGUACCAUGCACCAAUUAUACUUUGAAAGUACUUUCUUUAAUAAACUGUACAUGCUCUACCAGGCAGCUUAACUUAGAGUGCUUUGUUCUCUCAUAGGAGCAAUCAAUUUUACUUUUUCCAUAUAAU